AUUGAACGCUGGCGGCAUGCCUUACACAUGCAAGUCGAACGGCAGCACGGACUUCGGUCUGGUGGCGAGUGGCGAACGGGUGAGUAAUGCAUCGGAACGUACCAUUGAGUGGGGGAUAACGUAGCGAAAGUUACGCUAAUACCGCAUAUUCUCUCCGGAGGAAAGCAGGGGACCGCAAGGCCUUGCGCUCUUUGAGCGGCCGAUAUCAGAUUAGCUAGUUGGUGGGUAAAAGCUCACCAAGGCGACGAUCUGUAGCGGGUCUGAGAGGAUGAUCCGCCACACUGGAACUGAGACACGGUCCAGACUCCUACGGGAGGCAGCAGUGGGGAAUUUUGGACAAUGGGGGCAACCCUGAUCCAGCCAUGCCGCGUGAGUGAAGAAGGCCUUCGGGUUGUAAAGCUCUUUCGGCCGGGAAAAAAUCGCAUGGGCUAAUAUCCUGUGUGGAUGAUGGUACCGGAAUAAGAAGCACCGGCUAACUACGUGCCAGCAGCCGCAGUAA
rnacentral:rRNA from 1 species